GCUGGGCGUGGUGGCGCAUGCCUGUAAUCCCAGCUACUUGGGAGGCUGAGGCAGGAGAAUCACUUGAACCCAGGAGGCAGAAGUUGCAGUGAGCCAAGAUUGUGCCAUUGCACUCCAGUCUGGGCUACAGAGUGAGACUCUGUUUCAA
rnacentral:SRP_RNA from 1 species